CCUACGGGUGGCAGCAGUGGGGAAUAUUGGGCAAUGGGCGCAAGCCUGACCCAGCAACGCCGCGUGAAGGAAGAAGGCUUUCGGGUUGUAAACUUCUUUUCUCAGGGACGAAGCAAGUGACGGUACCUGAGGAAUAAGCCACGGCUACCUACGUGCCAGCAGCCGCGGUAAUACGUAGGUGGCAAGCGUUAUCCGGAUUUAUUGGGUUUAAAGGGUGGGCAGGCGGUCUGUUAAGUCAGCGGUCAAAGCCUGGGGCUAAACCCCGGCCCGCCGUUGAAACUGGCAGUCUCGAGUUGGAGAGAAGUAUGCGGAAGGCGCGGUGUAGCGGUGAAAUGCAUAGAUAUCGCGAAGAACUCCGAUGGCGAAGGCAGCAUGCCGGCUCCACACUGACGCUGAGGCACGAAAGCGUGGGUAUCGAACAGGAUUAGAUACCCGAGUAGUC
rnacentral:rRNA from 1 species